rnacentral:misc_RNA from 1 species
CAGUGUUUCCGCCGCGGCACGCCGGGCCCUCCAGCCCGCGCGGGACGCGCGAAACUCCACCCUUGACUACCGAACCGUUUUGUUGCUUUGGCGGGCCCGCCGCAAGGCCGCCGGGAGCCCCCGCGCUCCUGGCCCGCGCCCGCCGGAGGUACACCUGAACUCUUCUGUGAACUGGCCGUCUGAGGAUGAUAUCGAAUCAUUUA